rnacentral:tRNA from 1 species
GUUGUUGUAGUAUAGUGGUGAGUAUUCUCGCCUGUCAUGCGGGUGACCGGAGUUCGAUCCCCAGCAGCAGUG